rnacentral:misc_RNA from 1 species
GAUAUUUUAAAAUUACGUUUUAUCUCGGGUAUCUAAUACCGGUGUAUUUUUGUUAUCUGUGCUUUUCUAUUCUUUUUUUUCUACGAUAUGACAGAAAAAGAGAAAUCAACGCUAGUUUAUAUGCAGGAAAUGUUUAAAGAUAAAGUAGAUGAAGAUGUAAUUAAACUUGUUCUUACAGAGUCUCAGUACGAUGGUAUGUGUCAGAACCGACAGAAUGUCAGAAUUCAUGAUGUGGAAAAGACAGUGAUGCAAUUGUUAACCUUGAGUGAAAGCAUGAAUAGUAAAAACAGUGUUGGUAUGUCUUCCUCAAGUCGUAAAUUUGAUGAUAUCGAUCCAGUUGACAUUCCUUUGCCUGAUAUGAACCAAUAUCUUCAUCCUGACACUAAAGAUUUUACUGAAAAUCAAUUAGGCUCCUCUAUAUCGUUACCUAAUUCACAGUUCCCUGUUCCAAAACCCAAACGAAAUCCUGUCUCUGGUACUGCCAGGCCAAUGUUUCCAAAUUAUGAUCCUAUUCCACCAAGAAACCCUUCACAAGUAGAACCUAGGAAAGUAAGUGAUAGGUUUUAUGAAGAUGAAUUGUAUGUCUCAGAUGAUGAUAUCAAUGAACAACUCGAUUCUGUUAGUCGUAUUGAUAGAAGUGGAAAAAAUGAAAGUGUUGAUGAUAAAAGUAUUGGUAAGGUCCAACAGAAUCGUAGUAAAAACUCUCUAAGGAACAAGAAUAGCGAAAACCAGUCAUUCAAUGAUAACAACCCAGUGAAUAUACACAAUAGUAAAAGAACAAAUAGCCCGCAUCCAUUUGAACUUCAGUUUAAUUUACCACCGAAUCGAUAUUUUGUAAACCAAGCGCGAUAUUUUUCGAAUCUUACUUCAACCCCACGCUCUCAUCAGUUUGUUCAAACGCGAGGAAACACGCCGUCUGGGCAGUACCAGAGACCAACCCAGCACCAACGAUAUCCUACACCACGAUAUCCUACACCAGCACCUCGUCAUUUCAAUCCAACAACUACCCACCCAGCAACUGUGGAAACAGAUCUCAGAGCUUUUAACAAUCCUCUAUCAGCGAAAUCCAGGACAAAUAGUGCUAAAAUGCGUAAUUAUCCUGCCCAAGCAACCUCUGUAGCUGUUGCUAACAAGGAGGAACCAAUCACCUCGUCACAAGCUAAUCAUCCCGAGGAAGGGACUACUGUAGCCACUAGUUCUAGAAGAUAUAACAAUGCCACGUCGGUCCUUUCCGCACCAACUAGUGAAGGACCUAACCACCCUUCACCAGCAAAUGGUAUAAAUGGACCGAAUGAUCCUAUACCAACCACCAUUGGGCAUGGUAGAAAAGGAACUAACAGUGCUAGACCAACUCAUGGAAUUAAGGAACCUAACUUCCCAACCACAUCCACCGUAAAAUAUAGCAGUAAGGUUUCAAACCACUCCUUACGAGCGGCUAUGCCCGAAACAAGCCCGAUACAUCGACCUCAUCUGCACCCUAGAGCGUCGCUUGCGAGUGGCAACAAAGGGCAUCGACAAGCAACACCAGCAAAUGCAACCAAGGUAUCAAAUCAUUCUCAUCCCCCAAACUCCAAGAACAACGGGAAAGAAUCUAAUGACGUGGUCAGAGGAAAUAAUAGUCACCAAUCAUUUAGGCAAGCUAAACCGACAUUGCCCGAAGUGAAAUCUUUGACAUUACUGCGUGGAUUGCCUGGAAGUGGAAAAUCAACUUUUGCAAGACAAUUGGCCGCAAAAGGUGGUAUGAUCAUUUCUACUGAUGAUUAUUUCGAAAAAGGAAACAAAUACUGUUUUAACCCUGUUGAUUUGACUGCAGCUCACGAGUGGAACCAAGGAAGGGCAAAAGCAUUUAUGGAAGCAGGAUUGUCUCCUCUUAUCGUUGAUAACACAAAUACUGAAGCCUGGGAAAUGCGACCAUACGUUUUAAUUGGCUUAAAGUGUGGAUAUAAAAUUGAUAUCAAAGAACCAGACACUUGGUGGAAAUGGAAUAUAAAAGAACUAGAAAGGAGGAAUACGCAUGGUGUUUCAUUACAAUCUUUAGAAAGAAUGUUAGAGCGAUAUGAGAAGAAUGUAACUGUUGAAAGAAUUGUCAACUCCCCAUCGACGCCAGUCAUAACUCCGAAACCUGAAGAUGGAGAAGAACUUGGACAUGCGUUAAAAAGAAGUAAACCAUCCAACACAGAAGAACAACAUUCGCGGAUGGAGUCAAAAUCAGUUUCUAAGCAGGCCCAAGGAAAGCCUCCGAGAGGGCAGACAAAACGAACAGCUACAACUAAGAAGACGAUUGCCUUGUCGGCGAAUUUUUCAGGGGUUCAUAAUUCUAUGGGUUUGCUUGGCGAUAGCGAUGGUACGAAAGAAAACAAUAGACAAGAUAAUAAACAUACUGACCAACGCUUAAAUAACACAACAGGGAAGCCGAGUGAUAGUGCGCAAGAAUUUGCAGAUAUUCAUGAGAAUAAGGAAUUGGAUACUGAAUCGAAUUGUGAUGCUUUGGUUUUGAACGAGCAAACCACAACUGGAAUAAAUCAUGUGUGUGCACGUGAAACAUCUUCUAACGAAAGCAAUUCAAAUUUACAGGAAAUCUUCAAGAAUAGCGAAUCAAAGUUUGUUAAUCCAAGGCACACACGUGGUGACGAAAUGGACUUAAACGAAGGGAAUGAUAACUCAAAAAAUAAACAUAGUUUCGGUGGUGAUAAGCUAAGUGGUGACGUUUCCGCGUCUGAUGGUCAAGUGGAAAUCAAGGAUACUAUUAACAGUUUAUUUAAUAAUCCGGACCCAACCGUUAAAGAAGAAGAUCCUGGAGGCGAUCACCAAACCUCGACUGACACAGAGGGUUAUGAAAGGAUGGCUAUGAUAGAACCUGGUCUGCUAGAAUCAAAGAAUGAGAGAGUGAUGGAAACUCAAGUCAUUUCUGACCAGGAGGAAUGUGAAGUCACCACAAGAAUAGAACAAGAUACGGACAUAUAUCAUUCUGAUAGUGCAGAUGAAGAAAGCGAUAGUGACAGCAUUAAUAAACAAGAUGAAGCCAUCAUAACAUCUUGCCCAGCUAACCAACCAUCUUUACCUUCAACUCGGAAUAAUGAAAAUAUUGCUUUUAGUUCUGCUGAACAAAACACUGCUGAAGCUAAGAAGAUUUCAUUCGAAAUGUUUUUGCCGGAUACUGAUUUGCAAUCAACUAUCAGAGUUGGACAUGAAGUUCUCUUUUUUGACAGAAAAGAAGAACGUGGAAUUACAUCCAGCGAGAACAAUAAUACUGGAAACCUUGAGUCGGGAACUGAUUUCGAUUCGCUACUUUCCAUCAGUAAUACACAAAGCAAUCCAAGUUCAAGUGUAUUAGAUAUACCAACUAAAACUGUAGCAACCACUUCUUCUGGUGUGCAAGAACGUGAUCAGUCUGAUGCUUUAAUCCAAACAAGCUCUCCGGAUCUAGUUGUGAAUCCAAACUCUGAAGUCCUUUCACACACGGGACUGAAUGUCCCAAAGCGUGACGCAAAGCAUUGUCAUAGUGAAAGUAACGAGGGAGAUUCUGGUAUUGAUUCUGGUGCGUCUAGAAACGGCACUGGUAUUGUGAGGCGUAAUCAAGAACACCCUUGUAAAAAUAGUCCGAUUGCAACCGAUGUCCGUAAUGCUUUGGGGUCUUCCAAAACUGAACUAAACCAGACUGAUUAUGGAAAAAGUUCUGACACGUAUGCCGCAGAUGCUCCCGUCCCUAACACUCGCAAAGAAAAUUUUCAAGAUGUUGAUUUUGAUUUGGAAAGUGGUGUUUCUGGACAAUCUCGUGUUUCUGGAUUCCCGAGUACGGGAAAAGAAGAUGCUCUGGAUCCUAUCAAUUUUUUAAAAGAUUGUUUUCCAAAUAGUGAAAUUGAUAUACUUAAGUCGUUUUUUAAUUCGUGCGAUGAAGAUUUAGUAAAAACUGUCGAGUGUCUACUGGAGUGUAAUUUAGAUGAUUACAAUGAUACUCAACAUGAGCAGUCAACAAUGAACAAUUUCGAUAAUAGUUUACUGAGAUCAACUUCAGCAGAAAAUCAUAUCCAAGAUACCAGUGGUAAUUUGAAAACACCCGAAGAAAAUCGGAAUUCAUCUUUCAACAUGAAAUUGGAAUCCCCAAUAUCCUCAUCAAGUACUCCUAGGAAAUUUCAAGAGAUUUCUGUAGAUUCUCUUCAACUGACUCUUGAUCCAGCUUUGGCAUUGCAGUUGCUUGAGAUGUUCGGGGCAUUCAGUGGUGUUAGUGGAAAAGAUCCUCUGUCUGAGAGUACCCGAUGCAUUAAAAUUGACAAAGAUUUCGCAAAAACUCUGUACACUAAAUGGAGAAAGACUGUCCAGGCAACGAACAAAGGAAAGAAAACCGAAGUCUUUAAGAAAUCAUCUCCAGAUGGUAAUAUGAGAAGAAAAUACAAGGCACAAUCACGACAAUUUUAUCUCCCUGAGGAUGUCCCGGUGAAACCUGAAAAGCCUGUUGCACCCCAACCAGAACCAGUUUCCCUUAAAGAGAUUAUGGAUGAACAGCUUGCAAUUCAUGUUAGCCAAUCAGACCAGGAAAUAGAGAAACGAUUCCUUGAGCAGCAACUUGAUUUGUCGACAAAGCUUAAAAGAAGUCGACUACAUGGAAUGUUCCCCAAUAUUGAUAAAGUUUCUCUUAAUGAAAUAUUUCAAGCCAAUAAUUAUGACCUAGAUACAACCACACGCCAAGUGCAGUCAUCAUGUGGAAUACCUCUUACUCAAACACCCACGGCUUUGAUUCAGGACCAGUCGUUCACAAUUAAUCAUUCCUCCAAUAAGAAACAGGCUAACUCUACAUCACAGAGUUCAUCAGAGUAUCAAAGUGAAGUGGAUGGUAAUUUUCAGUCUUUUCAUGAUCCAUCAUACCAAGAUUACCGUGCUGAAGCCCAGACACAUUAUGAAUUGAGAAAUGAAUGCAUAAAGAAAGCAGCUUUGGCCUACAGUAAAAAACAAGGAGAGCUCGCUAAAGUUUAUGCUGAUCAGAAGUCAUGGUGAAAAGAAUAAAGAAGCCAAUCGUCGAGCAGCAGAGAAGAUUUUAGAAAGCAGAAAUAACGACUUGAUGCACACCAACACGUUAGAUCUUCACGAACUGCAUGUAAACGAAGCUAUUGAAGUCCUCGAAAACGUUUUAGAAGAAA